AAGACUUUACUUUCAGGGGUCAUUUCUAUAGUUUGUUCAGAAGUUUCUCUGAACACGUAGAGCAAAAAGUCAUUUCUUAUGUUGCAAGCAG
rnacentral:snoRNA from 10 species